rnacentral:rRNA from 1 species
GCAAGUCGAGCGGAACUGUUAAAGUUUACUUUUACAGUUUAGCGGCGGACGGGUGAGUAACGCGUGAGUAACCUGCCUUAUACAGAGGGAUAGCCUUGAGAAAUCGGGAUUAAUACCUCAUAACAUAUUCGAAUCACAUGGUUUGAAUAUCAAAACUCCGGUGGUAUAAGAUGGACUCGCGUCCCAUUAGCUAGUUGGUGAAGUAACGGUUCACCAAGGCGACGAUGGGUAGCCGGCCUGAGAGGGUGGAC